rnacentral:rRNA from 1 species
GCCCAAGAGAUCGGGAUAACACCUGGAAACAGAUGCUAAUACCGGAUAACAACAGAUGAUGCCUAUCAACUGUUUAAAAGAUGGUUCUGCUAUCACUCUUGGAUGGACCUGCGGUGCAUUAGCUAGUUGGUAGGGUAACGGCCUACCAAGGCGAUGAUGCAUAGCCGAGUUGAGAGACUGAUCGGCCACAUUGGGACUGAGACACGGCCCAAACUCCUACGGGAGGCAGCAGGG